rnacentral:rRNA from 1 species
UACGAAGGGGGCUAGCGUUGCUCGGAAUCACUGGGCGUAAAGGGUGCGUAGGCGGGUCUUUAAGUCAGAGGUGAAAUCCUGGAGCUCAACUCCCAGAACUGCCUUUGAUACUGAGGAUCUUGAGUUCGGGAGAGGUGAGUGGAACUGCGAGUGUAGAGGUGAAAUUCGUAGAUAUUCGCAAGAACACCAGUGGCGAAGGCGGCUCACUGGCCCGGUACUGACGCUGAGGUGCGAAAGCGUGGGGAGCAAACAGGG